rnacentral:lncRNA from 1 species
UGUAAUAAAAAACACAGCUGCAGGGCAGCCUGUCAUCAUAUUCAAUGUUCAUGAAUUUUUAUACCACUUGUUUUCAAAUUAUGAUUCAAGUGUUGUGUAUAUAUUGCCAAUUACAAGUAUGAUCUGAUUUUGAUUAACAACUUGAACUAAGCAAUUGAGAGAUAGUACUUUGAAUUUCAUUUCCUUCUAUAUACUAAAAAAGGGUAUGUUAUCACAUUACAAAUAUAUUCAUUAAUGCCUCUAUCUUCUUCUUUACUUGUAUAAUAAUUACAUAAUUCAUAAUUUUGCAGGCUGUGUGUCAAGAACACAAGGAACUGAUGCAGACUUGAUGCACUCGUUGGCUGGGUUAAGCAAUACAUACAUGUAAUGUAAGUACUAAUUAAUUAACUAUAGUUUGAUUUGUUUCAGAACUUUACUAGUUCUGUUAUCAUUUGAAUUUUCCGCAAGUUAAAAUCUUAUAAUCCCAUAUACAUUUGAGUAAGAACGUGUUUGUACCCGUAACUUUUUAAAAAAAGGAAAAUGCUAACGGCCUCUAGAGCACUGAUUGAGAAAUAAAUAUAGUAAAGUUAGCUUAAAUUCGUGUUGUGAAACUCUUAAAAGUUUACAAAAUGUUUUUUCAAUAUAAAUUUUACCCUUGUGAAAUUAAUAGUACUUUAUGACAAUAUCGGUUUUUAAGAAAAUUUGAGGGGUGAAAAAAGCAACUCUCUAUGUUUGCAGCUAUUAUAUAUUAGGCCCAUAAAGGUCCAACAAGUGAAGGAAAAAUGUAUAAAUUAACAUGAAUCCUAAUAAAUUAGUAAAUGCGUAUGUAUGAUUCAACAAUAAUUAAUAAUCUAGAAAAAUGUUAUUGAGGGAACAGAUCACUGAUAUUAAUUAUCUUAAUUUAUAUUCAGAAGAAGUGUUGGCAAAAGCAAUUAAUAUUCUAAUACAAAUAUUAAUUAAAUUAUAUCAAAAUAUUGAAUUAUUUUUCAAAAGAAAAGUGUUGCUUAUUGAUAUUAACAAUCACUGUGAUAUUUGUUAUCCCAAGCAAAAAAAUUAGUUAUCCAAAAUGUUAUUUUGGAUAGUUCUGGUCCUCUUUAAGGAAGCUGUUUUAGUCAUCUUGUGGCAUUUUAGUCAUUAUAUAUAUAUCAUAGCUUUAGAAUAUUUCCCAUUUAUAUUUAGAAAAUAAAUAAAUAAAUAAAAAAGAGUAUGUCCCAUUUUGGGAAUCAUUGGACUCAGCACAAGCCGGCCCUGGCCACUAUUUAACCUAUCUUACACUUAACUGCCUUUGCUAUGUUCAUACACAUUUUCAUUAAACCUCUUUCAUAUAUAUCUGCAGAGGAAAAUAAUUUUAUUUCAUGGAAAGAUCCAUGGUGGAGCAUCAAUACAUUAGAUAAAGAGAGGUAAUAUUUAUGUAAUUUCAUUUAAACUAAUUUUAAUUUCAUGAAAAUUUCAUUUAUUGUAGUUAGUUCUUAGACAUAUAUUUGGAAUAAAAAAUAAUACUUGUCUAUUAUUUCUGGGUUGUGAGAUAGUUAUAUUCAACAUGGAAUUUUAGUCCUUCAAAUAAACAUGGAAUAUUAGUAUCAUAUACCGUAUCCUUAAAUAUUCAUUUUACGGAAUUUCCAUAAAAAAUAAAUUCUUUCUAAUUUGAUGAUAUAGUUCCUUCAUACCCUUGCUUAAUUUCUCCCUUUUAUCUUAUGCUGUAUUCUUUAAAGUUUCUUUGUUUUUUAUUUUCUUGCAAUUUAUAAGUGUUGGACACUAGUUUUUUUUUAAAUAAAAAGACUGGUUUCUAUAAAAAAAAAUAUUGGUUAUACUAAGUAACACACACAAUCAUGAUAUAAUUUUCAUAAUUAUGAAAUAUCCGUAUUGAGCUAUAUGUUAAUUAGUUUGAUUAAGAUUUUUGAGGUUAAUUAGUUUGAUUAAUAUUGUUUAGAGGAAUUAGUUUGAUUAAUUUUGUUGAUGGGUAGUUUGAAUAAUUAUUUAUUCACUAAACGCACAUACCUUCUAAGCGAAUGUUCUUAGUUUUUCAUUUUAUUGUUUUUUUUUUUUUUUUUGAGAGGAUUUUAUUGUUUUUUGUUAACUUCUGAAUUAAUCAGCUAAAAAUAUGCAUGUCUUGUUGUUCCUAGGAGUAUAUCCCCUCUUUGACAUAAAAAAUUUAGCCAUCCUAAAUGUUGAUUGUGAAAAUAUUAAUUUGUAAACUCAAGUAAGAGUGGUUAGUCUCAUAUCGUUUAAGAAUAAAUUAUUUAAAAUAUAUACAAGAAUGUGACUCAUACAUCCAAUAUUUACGAUUUUUUAUGAAGAUAUCUAUUGCGAUUUUGAUCAUCGGCAUACUGUCGAUCUUGUACUUCCCCGGAUUUCCCCAACACUUACCUAAUUACAUCAACUUCCAAAUGACCUAUUGACGACAUUACCUAGCCACCUUUUCAGAAUAUAUGUGUGUAAAAUGGUAAAUCUAGAUGUGAGAUGUAAAACAAUUGUAACAAAUUGUAAAAUAUUUAACAUACCUAGUAUUGUCCGGAAAAACCACACACACCAACAAUUAAUCCACAAAUUCUAAGAUCUCAACUGAAUUAUUCAUAAACACUCCAGAAAUACAGUAACAGUAUACAAAGGUAUAUGUGAUUCGACACCUUUUACCUAUACAUUUAUCCAUCAUCUGAAAUAAGAUUAUAACCUAAUCCAAUUAAUAUGCGUAUCAAAACUCAUCUAAUCAUACUUAACAGGCUCCAGAAAUAUAAGGAAUAAUAACACUCAUGUCUCGCAUAUUAAUUAAAUGAUUAUCCACAACUUAUCUUUCUAAUGGUUGAGGAUGACUUAACUCUCUAUGAUUAACCAGGAUCUAGAAUGCUUCACCUCUUUACAAGUCUCUAUUUAUUGGAGAAAUAGUCUUUCAUUUAUGUUGGUGAAAAUUAAUCAGCUAAUCUUUUCAAGUAGAGAAUUCACUUCAUUUUUUCAAGAAUAUUCUAGAUACAUCAUUUCAAACGAAUAACUUGAAUUUUCACUAUUUGCAAUAAUACUUGAAAAUUAUAAUUGAUUGCCUAUCACUUAUCUUGAUUUGAUCCCUUAAUUGUAUUUGUGAAGUGUAUAUUUUAAUCAUACAGCAUGUUAGAUAUAAAAGUAAUCUUGAACUUAAUAUCAUAAAAAAGGUUUACACAAAAUAUAUAGUCUGGCACAAUUCGUAGAAUUUGGUUUAGACAUUACUAAACUCUUUGAAACCGGUAUGUAAGGUGUUAAUUGCCUCUGCUUAUAAAUUUAUGUUCAUGUUUUAUCUCGUCCAAAUUAGAAUUUAGGUUAGACAUUACUCAAAUCUUCGAAACCGAUUUGUAAGGUGUUAAUUGCAUCCACUUAUAAAUUUAUGUUAAUGUUUUAUCUCUUCUAAAGUGAGAAUCUUAACACACAUUCUUCAUGCUUAUGACUAUACAUCUGAAGCAUGACAAAAGUGGUUUGAUAGUGAUAACCUGAUAGCAAGCAGUUCAAUGAAUCUUAGAUAGACUCAUAUACCAUCUUAGAGUAUGAGUUCAUUAGACCUAACUAAAUCCUACUUGUAAGUUGAGGAUUGCUCUCACUUUAUAAAUGAGACUCUUAACACACACUGUUGAUUGUGACUUAAAAUCUCACCAUGAAUCAAAAGAUGCAUGGAUGAAAAACAAUUAUGAAAGCUGAUUUUCAGUUGGCCUCUGCUGCAUACGUGAGGAACAUUGGGCAUUCGCUAGGUGCUUGGGUUUUGUGCUUCUGGUUGUUUUUGCUUAUGCUCGCGAGGCCUGUAUGUGAAAUGCAUGGCCUGUGUGCGAGGCGUGUUAGGCAACAUCCAAUUUUAUGCUAGGCACGUCGAGGUACACGCUUGGCGUGUGUCUCGGGUUGUACCUCUAUUUAAACUUUUUCUUUAUGUUUCUUGUGUAAUGUCAUGAAACUAAAUGGGUGAACUUUUAGGAUUCUUAGAGGCUAAGGGUUGAGGAUCUUUAGUAGAUAUUUUUUGGGUUGAAAAUUGUUCUAGAUUGGUCCAAGACCCAAACUGACUAAGCUCGGGUCCGACCCUAGUCCACCAAAGCAGACAAUAUCAUACGAUGGACAUGCAUUAAAACCCACUGGAUCAUGGUACAAGUCGAGAGUUCCUCACCUAACCUCCCAGGAGUUAUGCUACGACUACCCUAAUGGCCAUUCACGCAUGUACCUUCAGGCAUAGCUAGUCGGUGAUAGAUUGACAUCCAAGCCCUACUUAUCCACUAUAUAUACUCAGGAUUAGCCUUGGGUUAGGUAUGACACUUCUUACCGAUACUAUAGCCGCAUUAUCUCUUGAACCUGCUACCAACUUGGACGUCUGAGCAUUUGUAGGUACACUACCCCAUCGGUAGAGAAGGACCCGCGAUGGACGGAGCAACAGAGCAAAGCUUACGGCGGACAGAGCAAAGCUCGAUCCCCCUAACACAAAGGAUCUCAUCUAACCAACCAUCUUCUUAGAUCCAAUCAGAUCAGAAACAUUGUAAACACCUUCGGUGAGUAUCAAUCUAAGUCUCUUGUUCAUGGAAGGAGAUUUCGAAAUAUGUAGAAAUUAGGUUGUUUUUGGAGAAUUUGUUGAAGCUAAUUUUUUGUAUCGUCUUUUGUAUCUCUUUGUAAGAAAGUCAUUGAUACUGGAUUAAAGAGCUCUCUUCCUUUCAUACUUAGGUCAUUAUUGAGAUGAACUAGGUAAACAAAUCAUGGUAUAAUUUUUCCUCCACUCUCUUUAUCUUGUUGUCUUGCUAUAAUUGUGGUUUUGCUUUACACUUGGUUUGCUAGAUUAAACCUAUAUCUGUUUUUGUUGCUUGAGGUGGUUUUGAUUAUUGGUUGUUAUUGAUACUUGUUCCACACCUGUAAGCUUAUUUGUUUGAUUUGAAUCCAAAUUCACAAUAAACACAUAUAAACAUGAUCAGAAUGUCUAUAUAUAGUUAGUUCAUAGAGAAUUCCUGCUAAAAACCAAAGAAACUAAUUUGUAUGUUCAGGCAUGUAGAUAGAAAAUAAUGUAAACUUAUAUGUUUCCUUUUUGAACAUGCAUUUCUUGUGAAUAUUUCUCCUAAAUAUAAUUUUAAAAGGAUUGUUAAAUUUUUAUCUGAAAGUGACACAGCUAAAUAUAAAAUGAACCUGAUCUGCAGGAUGAAGAACAACAAUAUUUGAAUUAAUGGAUAAUUAAUUGUCAAAGAGAACAGUUUAUCUUAAGCGAAUCAAAAGGAAAAGACUGCAGCUAGCUAGAACUUAAAAGAAGCAAGCACAUAUUUUUCUAUGCAAUGCCCUAGCUGAAUAGUAAAUAUUGUUGUAAAAAUUGCAAUAACAAGUGCAUCAUUUUUUUCUUUCUUGUGAUUCAAAUAUUAUUAGGGUUUUCAUCAGUGUGUGGAUCAAAGAAGAAAACAAAGUGAAGCAGAUAAUGGUGUCCAAAAGAGGGAAGAUUGAUCUCUGUCCAUGAAUUUAAGUGGUAGAUCAAAGUAGUGAGUUUGACACCAUUAAACCUUUAAUUCAGGUUAGGACCAACAAAUAUUAAUUACUUAAUCUGUUAUUAACUAAUGAUGGACUUCAUAGCUUACACUUGUACUUCACAUAAAAAACCUGCCUGAAUAUUGUAUUGCAUAUGUUUGAAUUUCUCUUGAUUUGGUUUCAUUGGUUAUGGAACAAGAAUUUGGAUACCUAACUAGGUAGAUUUUUCAGUGGCAUAUUUAAGGGUGUGUGAUAUACUAUAUAUAUUUGGCACAUUGAAUGUCCUAAAUGCUAUGUCUUUGUCUUAAUACUGUCUAUUCCUAUUAAUAUAGGUAUUUGUAAUGCUCUAUGGUUCUAUAUCUUGUAUACUCUUUGAACUCAAAAUAUGAAUAAAUUUUGUUUCUUCUGAAAAGUAAUAAGAAGAGAAUGCAAAACCUAAAGACUAAUUUCUGAAGGAAAAAUAUCCAAAAUCAAGAAGGAAAAAAGUCAAAAAUGGAAAGAAAAUUACUGAAAUUAACAAGUUUUCUCAGAAGUAGCUGGUGCUUGUACUUUGAUGAUCUGACAUAGUUAAAAGUUGCUCAAGAUAUUCAACUCCCAAAUCCUCUAACACCAAAACACUUGAUCCCUCUGAUUGAUCUUGUUUCCCUGCUUUAUUAUUCUUUGUAGCUUUUGAUAACAUUUUUCUUUGUUCACAGUGUCUCUCCUUGAGUGCAAGUGCAGGUGAAGACCCUUCUCUGCAAUCAUAUUGAAUCUCUUGCAAAGAUUCUUUGACCCUUUGAACAGAAAAAUUGAGCACGGCAUUAUUACCUCUCAUUGAAAAUGCAGCUUGAUCAUAAGCUAAAGCAGCAUCUUCAGCACUGUCAAAUGUUCCAAGCCAAACCCUUUUACCACCCCUUGUUGUGUCUCUUAUUUCUGCAGCAUAUUUCCCCCAAGGUCUUUUUCUUACACCUAUUAAUGAUGACUUUUGAUUCAUCUUAUUAUUAUUCUGCAACACUUCUUUUGCUUCAGAUGAUGAUGACUUCAACAUCAAUUGUUUUGGCUCGUUUUCGGUAACUGGUGUCUGCGAACUCGAUGAGAAAUCAACCAUAUCAAAGGAAAGAAAAUCAUGAUUAAUACCAAAUGAUUCAAAGGAAAUUUCAGAAGGGCUUUGCAGCAUUUCCAUAUCUGGGUUGUGGAACAAAGAGGAACUCAUCCUAUAAG